rnacentral:rRNA from 1 species
CCCUAUUAUCAGGAGGGAAAAAUGGAAUUAGGGAGUAGGACCAGCUGAAAACCAUCUAGGAUGGCGGUUUUUUUUAUUAUUAGACAGAUGUGUUUUUAAAACGAAAAUACACGAGCAUCUUUCUUACUCUUGAACCCCUCAUCCUGUACACCGCCGUCUGAAGAGUAAGUUUAAAUGGCUAACUCUAUUUCUAUUUCUACAGAAAUAAGUCAGGUAAGGUGCAGACCAUGGGUAAGAAAAAAUGCAUUUCUCUAAACCCCUAGGGAGCAGGUUGAAAGCCUUUCCCAAGAUGAAUUUAAUAGUAAGGUUUUUUAAUCAUAAAAAUCUGAAUUAAUUUCAAGAAAAUGUACACAUCGCCCG